GGUCUUAUAGUUUACUUAAAACGUUAGGCUGCAAUCCUAAAAAUGCUUUUAGCUAAGACUU
rnacentral:tRNA from 1 species